UGCAGUCGAACGGCAGCACAGUAAGAGCUUGCUCUUAUGGGUGGCGAGUGGCGGACGGGUGAGGAAUACAUCGGAAUCUACUUUUUCGUGGGGGAUAACGUAGGGAAACUUACGCUAAUACCGCAUACGACCUACGGGUGAAAGCAGGGGAUCUUCGGACCUUGCGCGAUUGAAUGAGCCGAUGUCGGAUUAGCUAGUUGGCGGGGUAAAGGCCCACCAAGGCGACGAUCCGUAGCUGGUCUGAGAGGAUGAUCAGCCACACUGGAACUGAGACACGGUCCAGACUCCUACGGGAGGCAGCAGUGGGGAAUAUUGGACAAUGGGCGCAAGCCUGAUCCAGCCAUACCGCGUGGGUGAAGAAGGCCUUCGGGUUGUAAAGCCCUUUUGUUGGGAAAGAAAUCCAGCCGGCUAAUACCUGGUUGGGAUGACGGUACCCAAAGAAUAAGCACCGGCUAACUUCGUGCCAGCAGCCGCGGUAAUACGAAGGGUGCAAGCGUUACUCGGAAUUACUGGGCGUAAAGCGUGCGUAGGUGGUUGUUUAAGUCUGUUGUGAAAGCCCUGGGCUCAACCUGGGAACUGCAGUGGAAACUGGACAACUAGAGUGUGGUAGAGGGUAGCGGAAUUCCCGGUGUAGCAGUGAAAUGCGUAGAGAUCGGGAGGAACAUCCAUGGCGAANGCAGCUACCUGGACCAACACUGACACUGANGCACGAAAGCGUGGGGAGCNNNAGGAUUAGAUACCCUGGUAGUCCACGCCCUAAACGAUGCGAACUGGAUGUUGGGUGCAAUUUGGCACGCAGUAUCGAAGCUAACGCGUUAAGUUCGCCGCCUGGGGAGUANNNCGCAAGACUGAAACUCAAAGGAAUUGANGGGGCCCGCACAAGCGGUGGANUAUGUGGUUUAAUUCGAUGCNACGCGAANAANCUUACCUGGNCNUUGACAUGUCGAGAACUUUCCANAGAUGGAUUGGNGCCNNCGGNNACUCGANCACNNNNCUGCAUGGCUGUCNUCAGCUCNNGUCNNGAGAUGUUNGGNNAANUCC
rnacentral:rRNA from 1 species